rnacentral:miRNA from 2 species
AUGAGCAACUUUGCCUUCGUUGA